rnacentral:tmRNA from 2 species
GGGGAUGUUCUGGUUUCGACGGGGGUAGUGCGAUCUACUGGUGCAUGCCGAGGGGGUAGCUUUCCUCGUUAAACCAGCUGCAAAAACUAUAGUUGCCAAUGACAACUACUACGGUAAUGACGCUUCGGUGGCUCUCGCCGCCUAAAGCGUUCGGCCCCUAAAAAAGGCCCUACCCCCGAACCGAUCUUGUGCUCAUGCUCGUCGGUGUAGGGUCACUAUCAUGAGACCGCCGAAAGACUCUCCAUCUGUGGGUCUGACGCUAGAUCAAUCAGGUAUGUCCGUCGGUGCGCUUCGCACACCGUGCUGCUGGCGGACGAGAUCUAACGGUGAGCUAAGCAUGUAGAUCUGGAGAUUAAACGCCUUCGGACGCGGGUUCGACUCCCGCCAUCUCCACCA